rnacentral:rRNA from 1 species
GAUGAACGCUGGCGGCGUGCCUAAUACAUGCCAGUCGAGCGAACAGACGAGGAGCUUGCUCCUUUGACGUUAGCGGCGGACGGGUGAGUAACACGUGGAUAACCUACCUAUAAGACUGGGAUAACUUCGGGAAACCGGAGCUAAUACCGGAUAAUAUUUUGAACCGCAUGGUUCAAUAGUGAAAGAUGGUUUUGCUGUCACUUAUAGAUGGAUCUGCGCCGCAUUAGCUAGUUGGUAAGGUAACGGCUUACCAAGGCAACGAUGCGUAGCCGACCUGAGAGGGUGAUCGGCCACACUGGAACUGAGACACGGUACAGACUCCUACGGGAGGCAGCAGUAGGGAAUCUUCCGCAAUGGGCGAAAGCCUGACGGAGCAACGCCGCGUGAGUGAUGAAGGUCUUCGGAUCGUAAAACUCUGUUAUUAGGGAAGAACAAAUGUGUAAGUAACUAUGCACGUCUUGACGGUACCUAAUCAGAAAGCCACGGCUAACUACGUG